AUUUAGCACUCGAAAAGCGCCUUCGUAGGAGCCACUGGUGUAUAUGCAUAGACGCAUACAUAAAAACGGCGAAGUGUACACGCUCACGAAACAUCCUCCAAGUCGCUCCUCUUAUCUCCGCCUUCUACUAUUCCCUCAGUCUCCCGGAAUGUCGCUCGAUGGCGGUGGCAUCAGCAAUGGCCCCGAGGCACAGGCUACCGCCUCGGCCAUGGAGGAGGACUACUGCCUGCAUGGGCGGGAGCGCUUUCAAAACCAGUGGGCGCGCGCUGGCGUGUUUGCUCCUGCCUCAUUGCGUGUGUACGGCAUCACCGGGGAGCCGGUGCUGAUGCGCUCCAUCAAGCAAGCGCGCAUGCUGAGUGCCACGUUCGGCACGUGCUUUCUCGGCCGCUUUCCGCGGUUCAGGUCGUCGCCGUCUUCGGGGGACAGCGAUGCCGCCGCCGUCACGCAGAAGGACAACGCCUCGAACGCUGCCGGUCCGUCCAGAAGCGGCAGCAGCUACGAUUCGCUUCCCUUCAGCUCCCUCUUGCUGGGUCCGUGCCCUCCGCCGAACAUGACGGCUGAUCCCCACAUGCUACAUCAGGCGUGGCGCAGGGAGGUGGCCGGGACGUGGAGCGCGCUGCACAUGCCGUCGGAGUGGUGCCAGACGAUGAACGGUGUCGUGACGGAGCUAAGCUGGUCGACGCGUGCGCAGCGGAAGCGUAUCGCUGAGCAGCUUGAGCUAGCAGCCUUCAUGUGCCUACGCGCCGUGCAGGUGCCGCUACCGUUCUAUGCCGCGGACGUCGCAUGGUCUGGCGGAGAUGACGACGACAGCCGCGAUCAGGAGGACAACGAGGGGGGUGCCACAGCAGGCAAGCGCGGCGGCGCGCAGCCGAUGAGUGAUGAAGAGGAGAAUCAGCGCAACAUCCGCGUCGCUUGUCUUGCCGCGGAUGUAGUGCUGUCUUUCAUUCAGCAGUGCACGAGGGUGAAGGUGUGGGUCCGCUGCGAUGCAUGCAACCCUGCCCAUCGCUACCAGCUGCAGCGUCUCCGCCAGGCCGUCCUUUACGGCUACUCCACUCUCAAGACGGACUCAAGGCGGGUGAUAUACCGCAUCAAUACACCCUGUAGUGUCACCAGCACCACUACGAGCCUCAUGUCUGACGCAUCACCGCCGUCGUCGUCCUCGUCGCCGCGUUCGGGUGUGGUGCAUACCGAGGCGGCUUCGUCUUUGAUGGCGCUGCUCUACUACUCCACGUGGAACCCGCGCAUGCUGCUGCCCAGCGAGUGGUUCGGCGAGGAGGUCGUCGGCUUUGAGUGCCCUACUGCCCCGGCGCUGCUGGCGUGUCUGGCGCCGCACGGGGUGGCGCCGCACGAGCACCCCAACUACCGCCCUGACGCCCCAGGCACCGCUUCCAGCACGCACCAUCGCCCCAGCGCCACUUUGGCGGAGGAAGACGUCGUGGAGGCGCAGGAGCAGGCGCACCCUAACCACGGCAACCCCGACGAGGACAACGCACCGCUCCGGCGAACGCCACCGACCUACCACGACGGCGAGAGCGAAGGGAGUCGAACAGGCUACUCACUCUUCGACUGGUACGACAGCGUUACAGAGCUUGAGACGAGCCACGAAGCCGACUCGGCCGUGGCGGCGGCGAAGGGGGGCUCCAAGGGCUCCGGUUCCGCCUCCGACACAUCGUAUGAGGCAGCGGCCGACUGUCGCCGCUCUCAUUUGCUGCGGAGCCGCUACACCUACGUGAUGCCGGAGGAUCUCCAGCCGUUGGUGGCCUCCCGCUGGGCUGGCACCUACCCGCCCUUUGUCAGCGCGAUCACCUUCAUUGUGGAGCUGCUGCGCCGGCGCGCGAUGCCAGUGUUCGAUCGUACCUUUUUUGACCAGUACCCGCUGCUCAACUACCUCCACUUCAAAGGCGUCGAGGAGCCGACCCGCGACGUCUUUGCCUCCUUCGAGGGUCAACUCCAACUGCCACUACAGCCACUGAGCCACCACCUGUCGAGCGGCGUCUACGAAGUCUUUGAGCGCGACGCACGAAAAUACCGGCAGUACCGCGAGGCAGUCUUUCACUACGUGCGGGACUGGUACGCCGCCGGGGCGGAGCAGCAGCACGCGCAUCAGAACAAAAUGUUCUUCGCGAAGCACGGUGCCAUGCAGAGGGUGCCGGUGCCCUCGCCGGAUGAGCGGACACUCCACCUCGUGCUGCUCGGCUGCGGUCGCGGCCCGUUGAUCGAUGAGUGCCUCCACGCUGUCUCCGCGCUCGGGGUGCGACUGCGCAUCUUCGCCAUCGAAAAGAAUCCCCCAGCUGCCGCCUUCACGCGAAUGCGGUGGGCGAAUGACCCCGAGUGGAUGCAGCUGGCCUACACCUUCGGACACACACUGGAGGUGAUCGUCGCCGACGGGCGCACCAUUGCGACCGCCGCGGAAGACGGCUCGCUCACCUUACCGGCUGACUUCGGUCUGUGCGACCUUAUCGUUUCUGAGCUGCUCGGGAGUCUGGGCGACAACGAGCUGAGCCCGGAGUGUCUGGAGGCCUUCCACGCUCAGCUCGAGGACAUCCAGCUCAGCCGCGGCAUCGCUUUCAACCCUCACCUCAUGUGCAUUCCACAGCAAUACACUGCGUGGGUGGCGCCGCUCAUGUCUGCCACCUUUGAUGCGGCGGUGACGGAGGCGGCUGUGAAAGGGUUGACGGUGCCGCCGCCGGGCUGCCACGACCGCCAUGCUGCUCUCAAUCAUACGCUGCUUGUCACAAACCUCAGCAGGGCUGUCACACUGGCGCCUCCGCAGCCGUGCUGGACCUUCGAGCACCGAUUCCACGGCGGCAGCGGUAACGACUACAAGGGAGACCGCGGCGCGAUGAAGCGGCGGGAGCCCGUGUCGCUGGAGCGGGCGGCGAGCCUUGUCUUUCAGGUGCCGCCGUGUGGCCGCUGCUGCGGCUUGGCUGGCUAUUUCUCCGCGGUGCUUUACGAGUCUGCGACCGCGCCAGCCACGAUCAUCGCCACUGCCCCUGUGGAGAGGACGGAGGACAUGUACAGUUGGUUUCCAUGCGUCUUUGCGCUCGAGCCCGCCCAGCAGGCGGAGCUGCAGGAUGUCGGGCAAGCAGCGGCGGAAGAAAGCCGCAUGGUCGCCAUCCGCGUGCAGCUUGAUCGGCGGACGGGUCUGGCGGAGCAGAGGGUUUGGUAUGAGUGGAGCGUCACCUACGGCGAUGCGGCGGUGGAGCGACAGUCGCCGAGGACUGGCCGCGACGCCUCCGCUGCACCGUUGGUUCACAACAAGAACGGCUGGGCUGCGUCGAUGCUCCUGUGAGACGGCGGGGAUGGCACUGGAGGGUGGGAAGGUGUGUGGAGGGGAGCCAGAGCAGCUAUUGCCCGGCUCUCUGUCUAUUUGAUUUCUUCUCGGGUUUACCGCGGGUGUGUGCAUAUUGACACGUGAGCUGCGUAGCAGGACUCCAUCAUGGGUGCUAUAGGUAUGCGACGCUGAUGUCCACCCUCGUCUUCCUCUCAUUCUUUUCGAUGCGUCUUAGUGUCUUCCAGAGUCGCUUAGUCAUGUUCAUUUUUUUCUCGCUUUUCCUUGUUGUGGUGAUGCUGUUGUUGUCCUGUGUCGUCGUGAGCAUGUCUCCCUCUCCCUCUCUCCCGCCUCCCCUGCGCGCCGCCCUUCCCAAGCCUCCUCUACGCUGCUCCACAUCUAUUGAACUGCUGCGGCCCGCCACGCCUUCCUCACGAGCUCUCUUUAGCAUCCCUCAUCUGGUUCUUUGUCGUUAUUGUUGGUUUUCCCUUUCCUUCCGCGGCGAACGUAUCUGGCGGUCACUAAACCACUGCUACCGCGUUGUUGUUGUCUUGGCCGCGGCUGCAGAGUGGACUGUUAUGCGCGUUGUGCUGGUGUGCUCGCCAUGGAUUGCACUCCAUGUUGCAUCUGCGUCUCUUGUCACCUCCUCCCUCUUCCCCCUCUCCUUCUUUAUCCCCUUCGCCUUUCCUCUUGUGCUUACGCGUCACUGCGGCUGUGCGCCUCUGUAGUCUUUAUCUAUGCUACCGUGCACAGGGCCACUGCCCUCUCACCACCUCCCUACCCCGCCCUAGUGUUCUUGGCGGAUGUCUGCAGGACCAUAUAUAUUUGUGCGUGCGUGCGUAUGUAGACGAGGCGGGCCGGCUCACAUCGUGAUGCCAUGUUUCUUCCGCCCCAACCCCCUCCCCCCUCACGCCUUGUUUUUUGAUGCAUGCAUCGUGUCUGUGUUGGCUUGUGUGUUGUUUCGUCCUUGUUAUUUCUUCGCCUCGCUUUUCUUCCCGGCAGUGCUGCGCCGAUCUCGUGUGACGGCUUGACUGUCCACCCCCACCCACCCCACCCCUUCGCUGCUGCCUGUACUCGAUUUCAUGCCCCUCUCUUCACAGGAGUGGUGAUGGUGGUGGUGGUGGUGGUGGUGAUGUGUGUGUGUGUGUGCGGAGAUACAUAUAUGCCCCCAUAUACGCAUAUAUAUAUAUAUGCGUAUAUGGGGGCAUUUAUCGUUUCUCCCACCGCCGCCGCCCAUCUCCCGUAAGGGCGCUUUGCCGCCCCCCUCCCCUCCCCAUGUCUCCCCCCCCCGUGCCACGUCCGAUACUGACGGAGGUGAGACAGAGGAAGCGGGCAAAGAGAAAUGCAGAACGAUGAAAAGCUGGGGAAAACGAAGAGGAACGCGGGUGUCAGUUUCCACUAACGCUAUUGUCCACGUCUGGGACAGCGAAGGCCACCUCGAGGUGCCUGCAUGCGGCUGUGUGUACAUAUAUAUAUAUAUAUAUAUAUCACGCUCUCUACCUCGCUGCUGCUUUUUGGGAGGCGCAGCGGGCACUCUUUGCCACUGACGCCCCCGCUGCAUCUCUCGUGUCUACCGCACUUCCUCGCACAACACUACUUCCUCCUUCCUUCUAUUAAUCGAAAACAUUACAACAUGAAG
rnacentral:misc_RNA from 1 species